CUCAGUUCGGCAGAACAUAUCUAAAAUUGGAACGAUACAGAGAAGAUUAGCACGUCCCCUGUGAAAGGAUGACCCGCAAAUUCGUGAAGUGUUCCAUAUUUAA